rnacentral:ncRNA from 1 species
CUAACAUGUUUGCGAGUCUUUGGGUGGCAAACCCAUGGGCGCAAUGAAAGUGAAUGCAGGUGGGAGGCCUCACGGCUGCACCAUCGACCGAUCCGGAUCUUCUGUGAUGGAUUUGAGUAAGAGCAAUUAUGUUGG